GGUGUGAUGGCCACAUGGCUAAGGUGUUGGAUUCAAAAUCCAAUGGGGUUUCCCUGCGUAGGUUCAAGUCCUGCUCACAUCA